rnacentral:lncRNA from 1 species
UUUUUUUUUUUUCUGAGCUUCUUCUCCUUUCUCUUCUAUAAUAAGGAGUAUACCAGAUGCCACCGGGGAGUACUAUUAUUCUACUCCUUUUUUUCAUCUGAGGGGAUGGAGCAGACAGAGACUACUUCAGUGAAAGAAAAAUAUUGAACCAAAUUUUAAAGUUGUUUUUAAAAUUUAUUUCUCGCUAAUUAAAUCUUUUAAAAUGAAUUAUUUUUUUUUGGUCUUUUUGUUCCUUCUGUU